rnacentral:rRNA from 1 species
GAUGAACGCUGGCGGCGUGCCUAAUACAUGCAAGUCGAGCGAACAGACGAGGAGCUUGCUCCUCUGACGUUAGCGGCGGACGGGUGAGUAACACGUGGAUAACCUACCUAUAAGACUGGGAUAACUUCGGGAAACCGGAGCUAAUACCGGAUAAUAUAUUGAACCGCAUGGUUCAAUAGUGAAAGACGGUUUUGCUGUCUCUUAUAGAUUGUUCCGCGCCGCAUUAGCUAGUUGGUAAGGUAACGGCUUAACAAGGCAACGAUGCGUAGCCGACCUGAGAGGGUGAUCGGCCACACGGGAACUGAGACACGGUACAGACGCCUACGGGAGGCAGCAGUAGGGAAUAUUCCGCAAUGGGCGAAAGCCUGACGGAGCAACGCCGCGUGAGUGAUGAAGGUCUUCGGAUCGUAAAACUCUGUUAUUAGGGAAGAACAAAUGUGUAAGUAACUAUGCACGUCUUGACGGUACCUAAUCAGAAAGCCACGGCUAACUACGUG